AUGCGAUGGCACAGAGAGGACCGUAAGAAAGAUGGGAAGUUGAGAGCACCCGCUGAUGGGUCGAAGUGGAGAAAAAUUGAGAGAAAGUACCGGGCUGAGUUUGCAGGUGACCCAAGGAACGUAUGGUUUGGUUUAAGCGCGGAUGGCAUUAAUCCUUUCGGGGAGCAGAGCAGCAAUCACAACACCUGGCCCGUGACUCUAUGUAUGUAUAACCUUCCUCCUUGGAUGUGCAUGAAGCGGAAGUUCAUUAUGAUGCCAGUUCCCAUCCAAGCCCCUAAGCAGCCCGGUAACGACAUUGAUGUGUACCUAAGGCCAUUAGUUAAAGAACUUUUACAGCUGUGGAAUGGAAAUGGGGUACGUGUGUGGGAGGAGCACAGACAUGAGGAAUUUAACCUGCACGUGUUGCUGUUUGUAACCAUCAAUGAUUGUCCUGCUCUCAGUAUCCUUUCAGGACAGACAAACAAGGGAUACCACGCAUGCACGCACUGUUUAGCUGACACCGAAAGUAUAUACCUGGACAGAUACAGGAAGAAUAUGUACCUGGGGCAUCGUCGAUUUCUUCCGACCAACCAAUGUCGAAAGAAAGGCAAGCAUUUCAAAGGCGAGGCAGAUCACCGGAAGAAGCCCGCCAUGCGUACCAGUGAUCACGUACUUGUUGGGAAACGUAGUAAUUUCAAAAAAAUUCCUACGCACACGCAAGAUCAUGGUGAUGCAUAG
rnacentral:rRNA from 1 species